rnacentral:lncRNA from 1 species
UUCCAUACCAAGUAAUAUAGGCAGUUGCAACAUCCAUGAAGAGUUGUUAAUUGGAGCACAAGGCAUCUGCAGUGUCAAAUCUACAGAGACAAGUGCACCUGGAGACAAAUGACCAGACUACCAUAAAACAGAAGCUUAAUUAUGUUCACUUACAUUUUCAAAUUAUUCCCAACAAAUUACCCUGUUUUUCCAGGCAGAAGAAGCAGAGUGAAGAGAGGACAUUCCAAAUAAAAUGAAUGCUGAUCCUGCAUUGAGUGCAAGCAAAAAACUGUCAAGUUUUCCCUGGAUCUUUGGGCUUUCAUUUCUGAAGUCUCCUGUGUCACGUAAAACUUUGUUAAAUAAAUUUGUUAUGCUUUU